UACGGAGGAUGCGAGCGUUAUCCGGAUUUAUUGGGUUUAAAGGGUGCGUAGGCGGACUGUCAAGUCAGCGGUAAAAGCCCGGGGCUCAACCCCGGCGAGCCGUUGAAACUGGCUGUCUUGAGAUGUCGAGAGGUAUGCGGAAUGCGCAGUGUAGCGGUGAAAUGCUUAGAUAUUGCGCAGAACUCCGAUUGCGAAGGCAGCAUACCGGCGGCGAUCUGACGCUGAGGCACGAAAGCGUGGGUAUCGAACAGG
rnacentral:rRNA from 1 species